CAUGUGUGGCUUAUUAGCAAUCAGAGCUUUCUUUGACUGAACUGCAGCUGAUGAGGUUACACUUGCUCUCCUCUCAGUCUCAUGGGUUAAUACAUGGAUUUAUAAAAGCUCUUGUAGCAGUUAUCACCACAUGCUGCCAGUCUGGCCAGGACACCAAGCAACUGGUUCACUCUAACUUGUGUUAGUUAGCAGGUUUGCUAGCAGCUAGGCUAGUUUAAGAUAAUGCCAACACAUCAGUGGCUGUGGUCUUUGGGGUUUGUCUUAAGUGAAUAGUUUAAGUGGCAUGAUAUGACUUCACAGGACACUGACCUCUCCCCUGCUUCCAUGCCCCAUUUCCACUGAAAACCAAACGGCUCCUGAGGAGUGCAUGUUCAUGGUCUAAAUGGAGAUGUCCCUGCAGCAAGUCUUAAAAUAGACUAACUUCCUAAUCUUAUGUUUUGUUCUUGGCAACUGUCUCUUCUUUUUUUUUUUUUCUAGUUCUCAAAAGAAGGGGCAUUUCUUGAGUAUAAACUAGACAACAACUACACACUGUUUUGCCUGAGAAAAGGCUUUAUUACCACCCAGUAUCCAUUGUGGCAAUGUUCUCCAAUGUCUCUCCUCCAGUCUUUGAUGUCUGUUCAGGGUCUGGAAUCGGCUUCAGAUUGGACCACCGGCCUUUUGACUUCCUGUGGGAGCUCAGUAUCGGCUCAGACCCGCUCGAGUUCCUGCUUGAGCCAACCUCGCAGACAAUUACUGUGGACCCUGGGAGGCCGACGACACCAGAGCUCAACAAAACAUUUUAAGAUUCCACAUUUGAUAUCAGAGUUCCAGGCGGCCGACCCUGCCCUCCAUCUCCAACAGGACCCUGCACCACCCCUCUUUCCUGCCUCUGUACAUGACUGCAGACUUUGCACUCCAUCACACGGUCUGCGACGACCAACCAAUCCAUCCCAUCAUCCCAGCGGAGUUUUUCUACUCUGAUCCCACCAUGAGCUGUGGGACGAGGAUCCCCAACAUAGUGACUGAGUUGAGGGUCUUCGAUUGUUUCCAGCUCAGCACUCCACCACCGAUUAUGUCCGCCUGCAUGGCCCCCCCCAGCUCGUCCAGAUCCAUUCAGAUCUGGACCACACCCCACCAUGGAUCUGGGCAGUUACACCUUUAAAAUAAAUCCCUUCCUCCCUUCAGUGCAGCCAGGCCAGGUAAUCGUUCAGCUUACCCAGGAGGAGGACCAGGCCAUUACCAACCUCCUGAAACUACACCACCAAGAGCCUCUGCAGAGUGAUGACAGCCUUAUUGCUCCACAAAACAACUUGAACCCCGUCCCGUUUCUUGGUCACCCAGAACCUGUGGAUUUCACUUCAGCUCAGGAAGCGUACAAGCUGCUGUGUACUGAUUUGCAGCAUCCGAUGGAGGCCAGUUUGCACAGUCAGUUGCAGCAGGGAAGACGCUGGUCUGAGACUGAGCUUGAGGCAGCUAACACCCUCUUGAGUUGCUUUAGCCCGACUGAAAAAAGCCACAGUAAUUCAGUAGUUUACCUGCCAGUUCUUGAGGGAUCAUCCUUACCGCCAAGGCUGCCUUCACUGUCCUCAGACUCAAAGGCAAAGUGUGUCUGUGGAGAUUUUUCAGAGGCGGAGGGACGGACGCUCUCAGACUCUGAGGGAGAUGCUGUGCAUGUGCUAUUGAGCCUCGGAGACACGGGAGCGUUGGAUACCGUGCAGUGACUGCCUUAAAGCCGAGGGUCUUCUUGUUUCUGUCUGUGUUUUCAGGGGACUUUAUUACCUCAUUGUCAUUAUGCAAACAACUAAUUGACUGUUAUUUGAUUGUUCUUAAAGAUUUGAAUUUUGAUUAACAUAUUGCCCCAAACCACUCAUUUUUCUUGGAUGAGAAUUUAUUUCCCACUUGAGAGGAGGAUGAAAACUGUAUGUUCACCUCUACCUUUGACUAUUGCACAUUUGCGCUCUAAUUUUCUUACUACUGUGUCAUUGUUCAAUAAAAAUAAUUGACAGUUAA